AAAAAGGGUUUUGGAAGGACAAGAUGUUUGCAAGGGAUCAACAAGUGAACAAGCUGAUAGCAAGGGAUCAACUAAUGCUCAGGGUAACAGCAUUAGGUUUGGCCCGUUGAUGCCACAAUCGGCUAACCUUGAUGGUGAAGGUUUAGAAAAGGUUCUGGAUCCCGUGCAUGUGUCAGGCCGAGGUGCUCCGAAGAAAAGGCUACAGGCAAAGAUGAAGAAAACCAGAACAAAGGGUAGAUGUAGCUAUUGUCAUGAGGCAGAUGGUCACAAUCGACGUACGUGCGCCAAAUUGAUAGAGGAUCUCAAAGAAGAACUAUGAUAGCUACAACAUUGUGCGCACGGUCGGACAGCAAGUACGUCGACGAUCAACCUGAUGUUGGCGUGUGCAUUGUUGUCUAUGUCUAGUAUCGUGUGACCUUUUCUCUAAAAUACUUCAUUCUGUCAGUUAGUGACUUCCUCAUAAUGUAUGACUCAGCUAUUUGGUUGUCCACUCCCUUGUAACAGUAUUAGUUUGGGAUAUUUUUUUUGCAUUUUAUAUGUGAGUUUUUCAAGUGCAACCUCAAGAAUCAUGGUUUCUUCGUGGCCAGCGUGUAGCUUCUUUAUGUUGCACGAUAAAAUUUGGAAAUAGAUGUAAUGGAGGAAUUAUAUUUCGCUCCUGAAAACAAAA